ACAAAGUUUCCAUGGAAGAGGGAUCAGAGGCAGGAGCUGCAGGAGCUGUUUCCGUGAGUAUCUGUGCAAGACUGGUCACAAGGAGUGUUGCUGUGGGAUCCAGGCAACGCAGUGCACACCUGAGAAGGCCACUCUGUCCCUCUUUGCUGCAGGCAGCCAAAUAGCUUUGACGCUCUGAGGACCGGGAGCAACCAUAAGGAAGAGUGUCUGUGCCUUGCAGAUCAAAGAAGAGUCUGGAGCAGCCAGCAGAGCAGUAGUCUUGUGAGGAGCCUCUCUCAAAUGCCUGCAGACUGUACUCUUUGGAAGAAAGUCACUGUGCACAGCCCACACACUAAGGAGUGGAGAGUUAUGUUCCUCUCGAGGGCCGAGUGUCUGCAUCAAUUAUUUGGAAUUCUUCUGUAUUGGAGAUUUGUCUAUUCUCUCCCAUUUAUUUAUUAUUCAAUCAUUUAGCUCAGUACGGACUCAUAGGUAUUUAUUUUAUACUUUGAGCUAUAAUUCAAUCCUACUUUACUUAUUCUGUGGCACAAAUUGUUCCAACUUGGCCAUCGGGAGUUCUUCAAGUUGAGUCCUGUGCACCUUUGACAUACGUGCAGCAAUAUGUCUUUGGUUUUUCUUUAAUCACUCUCUUACUUUCUGAUAUUACAAGAUACUCCAGGAUCAUCUUAUAUAUUUCCUGCCCCAGACCUAGAAUCAAUCAUUUUUCUAAGGAGCCCUAUUCCUUUUACUGGAGAAUGGUAUUAGAAAUCACAAUGUGGGCACUAGGUGUUAUGGUUGCUACUGGGAUGCCCAACUGAUUUUUGACAAUCACAUAAAAGCUAGACAGUAGAGGAAGGAUAAUCAUUUCAAUAAAUGGUGCUGUAGCAAUUGGACAUGCAUAGGCAAAAAAAAUUAACUCAAAAUGAAUCAUGGAUAUGACGUAAAAUGUAAAACCAUAAAACUUUUAGGAAAAAAAAAACAGUAGUAAAUCUUCAGGGUCUAGGACUAGGCAAAUAGUUCUUUGACUUAACACCAAAAGCACAAUCCAUAAGAGGAAAAAUAGGACCUCAUCAAAAUUAGAAAAUUCUGCUCUGCAAAAAAAACUCUGUUGAGAGUGAAAAGACAAGUUACUACAGACUGAGAGAAAAUACUUGCAAACCGCAAAGCCAACAAAAGACUAGUAUCUAGAAUAUAUAAAGAAAUCUCAAACUCAACAGUGAAAAAACAAUCUAAUUAGAAAAUGGGCAAAAGGCAUAACAGACAUUUCACCAAAAAGGAUAUAAGGAUGGUAAAUAAGCACAUGAAAAGAUGUUCGAUGUCAUUAGCUACUAAGGAAAUGAAAAUAUAAACCAUAAUGAUAUAUUGCCGCAUAGAUAAGUGAAAACUAUGUUCACAUGAAAACCUGUACACAAAUGUUCCUAGUAGCUUUUUUUCAUAAUAGCCCCAAACUGGAAACAACCUAGAUGUCCUUCAACAGGUGAAUAGUCAAAUAAACUGAGUUACAUCCAUAACAUGGGAUACUACUCAGCAAUAAAAAGGAACAAACUAAUGAUACACACAAAAACUUGGAUGAAUCUCCAGAGAAUUAUACAGAGAUCAGUGGUUGGCAGGAGCUGGGGCUAGGGGCAGGCAGGGAGAGACUAACUACAAAGGAGUAGCACAAGGUGAUAUCGAGGGGUGACAGAAAUAUUCUAUAUCUUGAUCAUGGUAGUGGGGGUUACACAACUGCAAGUGUUUGUCAAAACUCACAGGACCGCACACUUAAAAGAGUAGAGUUUGUUUUAUGUAAAUUGUAAGUCAAUUUUUAAAAACAUGAAAAUGAUAGAAGCUUUUUAAACCAACUUCCACUUAGUUCAAUUACUAAAUUAACCACAUUCUUCAUUCUUUCUGUAAAAUAUACCAACUGGUACACAGGACACUUAACAGCUGAGUACUUCUCUAGUAUAUUGGCAUUUUCUGCUCCCACCAGUUGAGCAUAAUACACAUGGAGAACCAUUGCAUGUGUUCCCAAACCUACAGAUAUUAGUUGUGCUUCUUAUUUAUAAUAACAUAAAUUAAUUAAAUAUGACAUAAGCCCAUGAAAUACGAGCAUAGAAAGGAAGAGUUAUUGUUUCUAUAAAAAUUAGAAUGAAUGCUUUGGGAAGACUAGCUAAUGGCAACUUCCUAAAAAUGAGUUCUUAAACUAAAAGUGGAGAAGACCCUUAAUAAAAGAUUAUAGGGAAAUGUAAAAAUCUAAAAUCAAUCCUCAUCUACAUUGCUUUGCAAGUAGCUUAAAGUUUUUGCUCCAUUUUAACAUAAUCCAAACUAGAAACGACAGAGCAUACAAUAUGAGAGUGGUUUAUGCAAUGAAGAUGUCUUCGAACUCCAAUUAACAGACUCAGACUCAAAGAAAGGAUAUAGCAAAUUAAUGUACAUUUCUAUGUUCUAAACUAAACAUUUAUGAGUUCUAAACAUUCAACCUAAAAUGUUAAACUAUGUAUGAAGUAUUAUUUGUGAUUCCUCACUUGAGCUGAAUUUUUCUCCUGGCCAACUUUACACAAAUAAAAGUGACGAAGUGACUCAGAUCUAAGAUUUAACACUUUCUGUUACAGUGUUCAGUUCAAGAACAAGUUAUUUUUUAAUCAUCUUGGCAAUUUGGAUGUAUUCUGUUUGACAGAUGGAGUACUUGAAAUGUUGAAUUUAGACGUAACUUUAAUUUGAAAUGUUUAAAAGAAUUUACUUGAUAGUACAUUUGGGAUUUAAUUUGAGAUGUGUAAAAGUUGAAUUGAUUGUAAACUGUGUUCAAAUUUUUCAGAGAAUCUGAGGUACUAAAUCUAUAACUUUUAGGUUAUUAGGUUUGUAAAGAGAGUUUAAGCGCUUAGAAAUAUUGGUUGAUUAGAUUUGUAAGCUUGCUUGUUGAAUGUUUGAAGUGCUUUAAAGAAUCAAAUACAUUAGAUUUGUAGUCAUAGUUUGAAAUAUCUCAGAAUUAAAUCAAGUUAAUAAUAAAUGUUUAUG
rnacentral:lncRNA from 1 species